GAUGAACGCUGGCGGCGUGCCUAAUACAUGCAAGUCGAGCGAACGGACGAGAAGCUUGCUUCUCUGAUGUUAGCGGCGGACGGGUGAGUAACACGUGGAUAACCUACCUAUAAGACUGGGAUAACUUCGGGAAACCGGAGCUAAUACCGGAUAAUAUUUUGAACCGCAUGGUUCAAAAGUAAAAGACGGUCUUGCUGUCACUUAUAGAUGGAUCCGCGCUGCAUUAGCUAGUUGGUAAGGUAACGGCUUACCAAGGCAACGAUGCAUAGCCGACCUGAGAGGGUGAUCGGCCACACUGGAACUGAGACACGGUCCAGACUCCUACGGGAGGCAGCAGUAGGGAAUCUUCCCAAUGGGCGAAAGCCUGACGGAGCAACGCCGCGUGAGUGAUGAAGGUCUUCGGAUCGUAAAACUCUGUUAUUAGGGAAGAACAUAUGUGUAAGUAACUGUGCACAUCUUGACGGUACCUAAUCAGAAAGCCACGGCUAACUACGUG
rnacentral:rRNA from 1 species